AUACGUAGGGUGCAAGCGUUAAUCGGAAUUACUGGGCGUAAAGCGUGCGCAGGCGGUUUUGUAAGACAGAGGUGAAAUCCCCGGGCUCAACAUGGGAACUGCCUUUGUGACUGCAAGGCUAGAGUACGGCAGAGGGGGGUGGAAUUCCGCGUGUAGCGGGGAAAUGCGUAGAUAUGCGGAGGAACACCGAUGGCGAAGGCAAUCCCCUGGGCCUGUACUGACGCUCAUGCACGAAAGCGUGGGGAGCAAACAGGAUUAGAUACCCUGGUAGUCCACGCCCUAAACGAUGUCAACUGGUUGUUGGGUCUUCAUUGACUCAGUAACGAAGCUAACGCGUGAAGUUGACCGCCUGGGGAGUACGGCCGCAAGGUUGAAACUCAAAUGAAUUGACGGGG
rnacentral:rRNA from 1 species